rnacentral:rRNA from 1 species
UACGUAGGGGGGCAAGCGUUGUCCGGAAUCAUUGGGCGUAAAGAGCGCGUAGGCGGUUUGUCACGUCUGCUGUGAAAACUGGAGGCUCAACCUCCAGCCUGCAGUGGGUACGGGCAGACUAGAGUGCGGUAGGGGAGAUUGGAAUUCCUGGUGUAGCGGUGGAAUGCGCAGAUAUCAGGAGGAACACCGAUGGCGAAGGCAGAUCUCUGGGCCGUAACUGACGCUGAGGAGCGAAAGCAUGGGGAGCGAACAGG